UACGAAGGGGGCUAGCGUUGUUCGGAAUCACUGGGCGUAAAGCGCACGUAGGCGGCUCUUUAAGUCAGGGGUGAAAUCCCGAGGCUCAACCUCGGAACUGCCUUUGAUACUGGGGAUCUCGAGUCCGGGAGAGGUGAGUGGAACUGCGAGUGUAGAGGUGAAAUUCGUAGAUAUUCGCAAGAACACCAGUGGCGAAGGCGGCUCACUGGCCCGGAACUGACGCUGAGGUGCGAAAGCGUGGGGAGCAAACAGG
rnacentral:rRNA from 1 species